AUGCCGUGAUGAGGGAACUUCCUCAACAAUUCCUUAAAUCUCUAUCAUGCUUCAUAUAAUUAUUCUUCGUCGCUCUAGAAGAAUAUAUUAAUGUCCCCUCUCAACUU